CCCAGCGUUGAAACGCUGGGCUAUUGUCAUUCCGUCCCUCUGGGACG
rnacentral:sRNA from 1 species